rnacentral:misc_RNA from 1 species
CAUCAACCUUGAUCUCAAGAGGGGUGGCAAUGGCAGGUUUUUAAAGACAGCUGCAUACGGGCACUUUGGCAGGGAUGACGCUGAUUUCACUUGGGAGGUGGUAAAGUCCCUCAAGUGGGAAAAGGCCUAAGCUUAAUUGAGGUCUUUUCUCCAGUUCCAGAUAUAUAAUACUUGUUUAUUUGCCGCUGCUCCCUCGCGAUUAUGAGAGUUUCCUCAUUGAUUGUAGUAUGUUUUAAUUUAUUUUCCCUCUCUCUCUAUAUCUCUCUCUUUAUUUAUUUGUUUUUGUGCUUUUCGAAAGUUGUCACUGGAUUAAACGAACAAGAAGCGUUAUCGAUUCCUUAAGCUUAGCUUGUGGUAAUAAGGGCAUGUAAAAGACAGUGGGUUGGCAGAACAGCUGCAAAAUACAUGUUAAAUCAUUUGUUAUAUGUUUGGCCGUGAAGAAAGAAAUUGCUUUCAUUUCAAUGUUCGUGCCUGUGCCUCUUUGUUUACCAAUUCCACUCUUUCUACUACAUUAAACUUAAGAUCCUUUGUAAGAGUGGAUGGAUGGGAAUGCAUGGUUUUGUUAAAACUCAUUUCCUGCGAGCUUAUUUUGUUCAAUGCAUAGUCACUGUAACCUUUUAAAAUGGAUUAUGCUGUGGCAGCGCAUGAAUUAUGUGUGUCCAUUUUUCUUUAAGGCGCCAUUCGGAUAGGUAUCAUGUUGAAAUCCUCAAUGAUUCAAAUGCACACCUAUCCAACAAAAUAAACUGUAUUAAAUUCCUCCUAGGGAAAUGCAAAAUCUUAGGGUUUGUUUGGAUGAGGGUGAAAGAGGUUAAAUAUAGGUAAGCAGGGUAAAUGAGUUGUAUUCCUCUGUUUGGAAAGGGUAAGUGAGUUAUGUUUUGAAAAGGGGGUGAAUUAUGAAGGGUAAAGGGAGGGUAAAUAUAGGUAAGCAGGGUAAAUGAGUUGUAUUCCUCUGUUUGGAAAGGGUAAGUGAGUUAUGUUUUGAAAAGGGGGUGAAUUAUGAAGGGUAAAGGGAGGG